rnacentral:tRNA from 1 species
GGGAGUAGAGCUCAGUGGUACAGCACAUGCCUAGCAUGAAUAAGGUCCUGGGUUCAGUCCCCAGCACAUCCA